UGCGCAGGUGGGGAUGUAAGUCAGUGGUGAAAUACUGCCGCUUAACGGUAGAACUGCCAUUGAUACUGCAAGUCUUGAGUAUGGUUGAGGUAGGCGGAAUGUGUUGUGUAGCGGUGAAAUGCAUAGAUAUGACACAGAACUCCAAUUGCGAAGGCAGCUUACUAAGCCAUUACUGACGCUGAGGCACGAAAGCGUGGGGAGCGAACAGGAUUAGAUACCCUGGUAGUCC
rnacentral:rRNA from 1 species